rnacentral:lncRNA from 1 species
AUGAAAGGAAAGCUGCUGUCUGAGCAGCCCAGGAGAGAAAGAGCAUUCUGGCCAAGAGGAACUGCCGGCUUCCUCACAAGAAUCUGCCGCUCAGACGUCUCCAGCACCACACCUAUCACUGAGAUCUCAGGGUCUGGCCCACCUGCCGGGGCUCAGAGCCAAACGGACUUGGAAUUCUUCAAGGGACCCCACAGAGCUCACCUGAUCCAACUUCCCACCAACCCAUUCCCGCCCAAAGGCCCAAGUAGCGACACAGCCUCCAAGGCCUCCACUGGUCUGUGGCAGGAGGCUUCACAGACCUCCCUUUCUGCUCGCAAGCAGAAGGGCCAGGCAGAGAGAGGGAAUCUUCUCCAGGUGAGCGGCGGUUGGACGCACCAGCUUCUCCAGCCCCGCACCCCCCUCUCCGGCUGUGGGUGAUGCCCUGCACAGCUAUGCAGGCCACUCACCCAGAGCUGGGGCAAGUCCAAGCCCUUGAAAGCCUGAAGGUUCUCCUCUGCGAAGCACCACCUCUAUUCCUGAGAGUACUUUCCUGUGAAGAAACACAUUAUCUGCAUCAUCUGAAACAGACCUUGCCUCAUCCCCCUGCCCUGAGGGUGUCAAGCAAGCCCAGCAGACAGAGCAGACGGCCCUGGGGUGGGGAGGGGGGAAGAAAGCAAGCAAACAUCUGUCGGAUGGAGCAUAUGGGAAGACAUGUCUCACCUCAGAUCACAGCAGAGGGCCCAGCCCGUCGCCCAGCCUGAUGCCCACCUCUGUGGUCUUGGACCUGAACUCAGCAUGAGGCAGGGCAGGCUGUUCAGACCUCACCUCCACCCACCACCGUUCUGAGGGCCCCAUGAGCAGAUUAGAGCUGUGCUGAGGCCAUGUGGUUUCCCCAGCACAGCAAGCCAAGACACUCGGUUCUUAGUACCCAGGAUGGAACUUUACAUCGGCCUCAAGGAACCUGGGUCCUGUGCAAUAUAUCCGCUCCCCUGAACUCUGCUCCCGACCAGAAAUUUAUUUGUUUUAAAUGCAUUAGUAGAUAAUACGUCACAUGGUCUGAAAGGCAAAUGUACAAAAAGGGCAUACAGUGAAAUACACCCUCCCACACCUUUCUCACAUGAACUACCAGAGACAGUUCAUGACUAUAUAAGCAAAUACGCACAUGUAUCCAUACCAAAGGACAUGGUAUGUGGGAAGAGUGCAAAUUCUGGAGCCAGACUCCCUGAGUUUGAGACCCAGUAUUGCCCAGUACCAACUGGUCCAUGACCUUGGGCAAUCUCUCCAUGCCCCAGUGACCCCCAUCUGCAGAGCGGGAUGUAAUCAUGCUACCUACCACGUAGGAUGGGGUGCGGUUAAACAGCACAUGCUAGCUUCCUGUAAUGGGUGUUCUUUCCUUUCCUGUUUUACAGAAAUGAUAGCACACUGUUCUGCACAUACU